ACUACCACUCACAUCCAGAUUUCUCCACCACUGCUCCUCGUCGUUGAGAACCGGAUCGGAGCCGUACAACCACCGUCGGACCAGAUCUGGCACUCUCCCCUUCGAUUCACACCAGAUCUGCAACUCUUCACUUCGACCCACUCCUCUGCAACGUUAAGCUUUGGUUAGGGGAAACAAGGAGAAAUAAAAAUUAAAAAACAAAAAGAGAGAAGGAAAAGGAGAAAUUCACCUUGAUGUUUUCUUCUUGGUAGUGCUACUGCUGCUGAUGGUGCCUGUGCUGCUGGAGAUGGUUGAAGUGAGAGGAGGAGAGAGUGGGAGGGAGAAGAAGGAGAAGGGGAAAAGUCUAAAAUAUCCUGAAUGCAAAGUCUGAAAUGUCC
rnacentral:lncRNA from 1 species